rnacentral:lncRNA from 1 species
AUUUUUUACAGAAUCAUUCCAAUUAAUGAAGAAGAAUAUUAGAAUUAGAAGAUUACCAUUUUGCAUCUCCUAAUGAAUGAAUGGAACCUCAGCAAAUAUCAUCCAUCGCUGCUAUGAACUGCACAGCUUUUCUGCCAUCAAAGAAGAAAGCUUCUGUAUCAGCCCAGGAAACCACAUGCUUGAUCAUCCAUGUGGUCCACUAAGUCAAGAGAGGAGAUACCCAAGAGGAGCUGAGCUUCUCAACUGUUUGCCCCUGACUUCGAUUUGCUGCCCUCCAACCCCCCAGCACAGAAAUCAGUUAUCAAGGUCAAACCACAGAUCCUGUGAAUACUAAAGUUUGAAUGGAUUCCAAUGAUUCUGGACCAAACGUUUUCUUCCAAGGCCAUUUUACCCUCCAAAGUUCUAACAUUCAGAAAGAAACAGCAAAAGCUGGGAAAGCAGAGAAACUGAAUGAGAACAGUGAGCUGGAAAGGAAGCUCUCCAGGAUUUGGAAUUGAAUCAUUCUGUCAUUCUCCUCCCCCAACCUAGUUUUUUUCCAACAUUCCUCCAAACCCAGAUUCUGAUAUCCCACAGUGAUAUGAAGGAAGUUAAGGUGAGAGAUUAGGAAUUGGUCUGUAAGAAUUGAAGACCAGCUCUGCAGUACCCAAUGGCUGAAUCAAUGGAGAAAAACGCUUAGAGAGUCUCAGCCAGUGGAAGACAAUGGUAUUGAUACCAGAGAACUAUCUGAUAUGGUUUGGCUGUGUCCCCACCCAAAUCUCAUCUUGAAUUGUAACUCCCAUAAUCCCCAUGUGUCAUGGGAGAGACCCAGUGGCAGGUAACUGAAUCCCUGGGGAGCGUUUUUCCCAUGCUGUUCUCGUGAUAGUGAAGAAGUCUUACAAGAACUGAUGGUUUUAUAAAAGGGCAGUUCCCCUGCACACGCUCUGUUUUUGUUUUUGUUUGUUUUUUGUUUUUUGUUUUUGAGACGGAGUCUCGCCCUGUUGCGUGGCCAGGCUGGAGUGCAGUGCCACAAUCUCAGCUUGAUGCAACUUCUGCCUCCCAGGUUCAAGCAAUUCUCCUGCCUCAGCCUCCCAAGUAGCUGGGACUACAGGCAUGUGCUACCACGCCCAGCUAAUUUUUGUAUUUUUAGUAGAGAUGGGGUUUUGCCAUGCUGGCCUAGCUGGUCUUGAACUCCUGACCUCAGGUGAUCUGCCCACCUUGGCCUCCCAAAGCGCUAGGAUUACAGGCCUGAGCCACCGCUCCUGGACUGCACAUCCUCUCUUGCCUGCCACCCUGUAAGACGUGACUUUGCUGCUCAAUCACCUUCCGCCAUGAUUGUGAGGCCUCCCCAGCCAUGUGAAACUGUGAGUCCAUUAAACCUCUUUCCUUUAUAAAUUACCCAGUCUUGGGUAUGUAGCAUCAUGAGAACAGACUAAAUACACUACCUCCUUGAGAAUUUCUGUUUCAGAAAGCACCAGUGAGUGAGCAGUAUAAAACAACAGGCCCCAGAACUUUUCACAGUCACUUCGGGGCACUGUUUAAAAAUACCACUACCUACUCCCUGGCAUUUUAAGUAAGUUCUCCAGCUGGGUGCUAGGAUUUGGAAACUAGUACAUUCUAGUGGCCACCACUAGCCUGUCUUUCUCAAUUUUCAUCUUGUGUGCCCCCAGAAGGGGUGCCAAACAAAAUACAGGACAUCUAGCUAAAUUUGAAUGUCAAAUAAAUAGUCAUUUUUUAGUAUACAUUUCAAACAUUGUAAUACUAAAUAAUUCCUUUUCUGACAUUCAGAUUUAACCUGGUGUCUGUCUUAGUCUGCUUUCUGUUGCUCAUAACAGAAUAUCUGAAAUUGGGUAAUUUAUAAGGAAAAGGAAUUUCUUUCUUUCUUUUUUUUUUUUUUGAGACAGAAUCUCAGACUGUCACCCAGGCUGGAGUGCAAUGCCAUGAUCUCAGCUCACUGCAACCUCCGCCUCUCGGGUUCAAGUGAUUCUCCUGCCUCAGCCUCCUGAGUAGCUGGGAUUACAGGUGCCUACCACCACGCCUGGCUAAUUUUUUGUAUUUUUAGUAGAAACGGCGUUUCAUUAUGUUGGCCAGGCUGGUCUCGAACUCCUGACCUCGUGAUCCGCCCACCUCGGCCUCCCAAAGUGUUGGGAUUACAGGCAUAAGCCACCAUACCCGGCCAAAGGAAUUUAUUUCUUACAUUUACAGAGACUGAGAAGUCCAGGUCAACAGGCUGCAUCUGGUGAGGGCCUUCUUGCUGGUGGGGACUCUCUGCAGAGUCCUGAGGUGGCACAGAGCAUUACACAGCAAGGGAGCUGCAUGUGCUUCCUCAGGUCUCUCUUCUUUAUAAAGCCAUCAGUCCUAUUGCCAUGAUAACACAUUAAUCCAUUAACCCACUCAGGAGGGCAGAGCUCUCAUGACUCAAUCACCUCUUAAAGGCCCCACCUCUCCAUACUGCCACAUUGGGGAUUAAAUUUCAACAUGAGUUUUAGAGGGGUCAAACAUUCAAUCCCUAGCAGUGUCCAGUAUUUUAUUUGCAAAACUGGGCAACUCAAACUCCCAACUCCACUACAAUGAUAGGUAAAAUCAACAUGCACAUAAAAAGCAUAUUGUUAUAUUCACUUUUGACUUGCUGGCCCUGAGUUUAUUCAUUAAGAAUAUAUUGCAUGUGGAUACUACAGCAAAAUAUGAGAAUGAGCAUAAUGAUAUUACUAGGAUAAGAACCAUUUCCCCAACUGUCAAAUGGAACCAGUUGGACCAGAUGUAAAAUUCCAUUAAAUCACUGAAUUAUUAACAAGGCAUUACCCAUACCAAAUUUAAUAGUCAAUAUCUAAAAUUCUCAUGUCUACUGGAAGAGGUUUCCUCAUAGAAGAUCAACUCAACUUAUCCAUUUCUAUUUCUCCUUCAAAAGCAAUUCCUGAAGACUAUUUUCUCACAACAGUGAUGACUUCUGCUCAUAUACAGUGGUUUAAGGCUGGGCACAGUGGCUCACCCCUGUAAUCCCAGCACUUUGGGAGGCCGAGGUGGGUGAUUGCCUGAGGUCAGGAGUUCGAGACCAGCCUGGCCAACAUGGUGAAAACCCAUCUGUACUAAAAAUACAAAAAUUAGCUGGGCUUGGUGGUGGGCGCCUGUAAUCCCAGCUACUCAGGAGGCCGAGGCAGGAGAAUCGCUUGAACCUGGGAGGUGGAGGUUGCAGUGAGCCGAGAUCAUGCCAUUGCACUCCAGCCUGGGCAACAAGAAUGAAACUCCUUCUCAAAAAUAAAUAAAUAAAUAAAAUACAGUGGUUUGAAUGUUCUCCUUCUAUAGAUUCUGUCUAGUCCACUCUGUAGGGGAUGUCCAAGAGCGGCAGAGAAAACAGUGGUCCCUUAUACCAACCACACCAGGAGCCAUGACUACAUGUAGUGAUCCCUAACGUAUUACUUGCCAAAAGAUCAUACUAUUUUAGUGGAAGAUCCCAAAUAAUUCUAAAAUGGGGUUGUAUCAUGAAGUUAUUUCAUCAAGCCAGGAAGGAAAGAACAGCAGACAUCUAACUCAUGCUGACCAAAGACAGUCUAGAAGUAUUAGCAUUAAUUGUAAGGAUUUACAUCUAUCUGCCUAUCUAAAUUUGGUUUUAUCCUAGUGGCCUCAAGUAAGCUAAUCUUGUUAUCUGUGAUGUAGAUCAGCAUCUGAUACAAUCAUAUAUGUUUAACAAAGACCACUGACCUCCUCUGCAAAAUCUGAGUUUGAACCCUGACCAUAUGAGAAAGUCUCCUAUUUUUUUUGUUUUACCCAAUUCAUCUUCCCCGGUUUAAAUGUUUUGGUUUGGGCAAUUAUGCUAAUUAUGGCCACAAAAUAUGGUCUGUGGGCCAAAUCCAGCCC